AGAGUGAACGCUGGCGGCAGGCCUAACACAUGCAAGUCGAACGGCAGCACAGAGGAGCUUGCUCCUUGGGUGGCGAGUGGCGGACGGGUGAGGAAUACAUCGGAAUCUGCCUUAUCGUGGGGGAUAACGUAGGAAACUUACGCUAAUACCGCAUACGACCUACGGGUGAAAGCGGAGGACCUUCGGGCUUCGCGCGAUAAGAUGAGCCGAUGUCGGAUUAGCUAGUUGGCGGGUAAAGGCCCACCAAGGCGACGACCCGUAGCUGGUCUGAGAGGAUGAUCAGCCACACUGGAACUGAGACACGGUCCAGACUCCUACGGGAGGCGAGCGAGUGGGGAAUAUUGGACAAUGGGCGCAAGCCUGAUCCAGCCAUGCCGCGUGUGUGAAGAAGGCUUCGGUGUAAGCACGUUUGUGGGUAAGAAAGCACUGGAUUAA
rnacentral:rRNA from 1 species